GGCGCCGGGACUGGCCAUGCCAUCCCCCAGCUCCCCCGGUGAAGAGGCCAGGCGCCCCUCCUGACGCCCCGUCUCCGCUCCUGGGGGCCCAUCCCCUGCCCAGCGGGUGGCCGACAGUCACCUCACCCACAGCGGGCCAGGGCUGCAGGCUUCCGGAGCAUCGUGACUGCAGGGGAGUUGAUGGAGAAAACUCCCUGGGCUUUGGCUCAGUGUCCCCUGAUGCCUGCCAAGGACAAAGCCGGCCCCUGGCCUUUGAGAUCCAGAAGGACGCACUCACUCGCCCUCCUGGUCCCUGCGGUGACAUCACAGAAGUGCCUGUGACUCUUGUCCUCCAGAGCCAGCUUCAUCUCCACCUCACUUCUACCAGAACUACCCUCGGCUCCCAGACGCCCUCUCUCACCACCCCUGGAGAUGCAUUUAUUGAGCACCUGCUGUUUACCUUGUGCUCCACUCCCACUGGGCCAAAGUGUGAGCCCCCCACCAAAGGGCCUGCCACUACCCGUGCUUCCAGUCCCAGUCACUGACCCUGAGCUGGGCCCACGCUGUCUGGGUGUCCCCAUACCUCUCCUGGUCCAGGCUGCUCCCAGAACCCACGGCUGCAUCCUUGGGCUCAGGAGAUACCCAGAGGCUGGCUCAAAAAGGAGGGAAUGAGGAGUGCAGGAUAGGCAGGACAGACCUGCUCCUAAAAGAGCAGCCGAUCUGGCAAACACAGCAGACAUUCUGCUUUUGGAAAAAUUUUAUAACACAGUGGCACUUGUUCAUGGAGACUAAUAGAAACACCACACAGCCCCACAUUGCUCAGCCAGCCAGGGGGUGGCUCGCGCCUGCUGGGAAACAUUUCCCAGGCGCCUACUACGUGCUGGAGGCCGGGGAGAGGAGGAGGAGGAGGAGAAAGAGGCAGGAGGACAUCCUCAGGGCACCUGGAAAGACAGCUGAGGGCCGGAGGAAGAGCCACAGAUGCAGCCCAGGCUGCUCCCGAAGCAGCAGCAUAUGCAACCUCACCACGGGGACAGCAGCAGAGGGCAGCCCAGCCCGUGCAAAGGCUCCUUAAAUCUCCAUGUCCAGGCAACCCAAUCAUGUUGCCAAAAUGUGAUUGGUGGGAAAAUGAUGUCCACACUCAGUGCACAUCUAACAAACAAGUAAAGCAGGUAACGCAAGAGUUUGGGGGUACAAAAAAUGGAAGGAAGAAGAAUGAGAC
rnacentral:lncRNA from 1 species